GGGGUUGUGGCUCAGUGGUAGAGCGCUCACCUUACACGUGUGAGACACUGGUUCAAUCCUCAGCACCA
rnacentral:tRNA from 1 species